rnacentral:rRNA from 1 species
AAAUCAAGCAGUCAAAAAUAUUAGUCAAUGCUCGAAAGAGUGAACUAGCUACUGAAUCAAUUAAAAAUUGAUAACAUAAGGGAAAAUAAUGAUAUUACCUUAUUAUUAGUGUCGUCCAAAACUGGUGCCAGAAGACUCGGUAAGGCCAGAGACACAAACGUUAAUCGUCUUAAUCAGGCGUAAAGGGUUUGUAGGCGGCUUUUAAUUUACUUAUAAAAUAAGUUAAGAAUAAAAGCUAGAAUCAAAUAGAGGAUAUAUCAAAUAAUGCUUAGAGUAGGUCUGAUAUCCUUAGAUACUAAGUAGAAUAUUAAAGGCGAAAGCUUUUUUCCAUAAAUGAUUGACGCUCAGAAACGAAGGUGAGGAUAGGAAAUAGGAUUAGAUACCCAAAAUACCCCUCUCUGUCAACGAUGAAUGGUAAUUAUUAAUAAUAAAUUUAUUAUUAAUGGCAAUGUUAACACGAUAACCAUUCCGCCUUGUGAGUACAACUGCAAAGUUGAAAACAAAAAAAUUAGUCGGUUUCGGAGCAAACGAAGUGAAGCAUGUUAUUUAAUUCAAUAAUCCGCAA